UAUUGCUACAAAUAUACCUGUGCUACUGAUGACUGCUUCUGUGCUGCAGGGACACAUGUGUAUAUAUGUUUAUAUAAUGCUCAGCAUUUGAUUUCAGUGAAAGUCUCACCUCAUUGACAUAAAGGUCAGAGGUCAGACGCUCAUUCAUGACACUGAGGAUCCCUGGAGAGGUCAGUGGGAGGAAGUGAUGUCACAGCUGAUGUGUGUGUGUGUGUGUGUGUGUGUGUGUGUGUGUGUGUGUGUGUGUGUGUGUGUGUGUGUGUGUGUGUGUGUGUGUGAGUGUGUGUGUUUGAGCGGCUGAAGGGUCAUUGUGAAGCUCCUCAGUGAUCUCAGUGUUCAGAUGAAGACGUCUCCAGUGUCUUGGAGCGAACGGCUCGUCCUCCAUUCUUCACAAACACUGGCUCUUUCUGUUUGGCUCUCCACUCAGUUCUUUCUCUUUUCUCGUUUGGUUUACGCUGCUCUUGCCCUCGAGUCGCAUCUGCAGAGAGCAUCAAGAGGCGCAUUCACAUGAACCCGGCGUGUGCGCGCCUGCUAUUGUUUUAGCAAGUUCAUGACCUCAAAGUGCUUGCAGACGAGAUUGUAGCAUCGGAUAACAGACUGACAUGAAGAUUUCCACAGACCUGAUCCGUCAGCACUGAGCGUGCAUCAGCAAGGCAUUAGAGGGGUCAUGACAUGAGAAAUCACAUUUGCAUUGAUCUUUUGGCAUCUAAGAGGUCUUUGCACCAUUAAAACAUCCUGCAGGUUUAAUAAGUCCACGCUGGAGUCUGUCUCAGGACAAACGCAGUGAAUACUGUACGAAUAAAAACACUAAAAAAAUUACACAAACAGUGAAUAACUGUACAAGGCAAAUUACGGUAGGCCUAUAUGUGUAUACAAAGCAUAAAUGUUAAUUUAGCUUUCAAAAUGAGCACUUUGUCCUUUGUAAUACAUAUGUUGAGGAUUUUGUGCUUUCAAUGUUUUUUCAAGUUCAUCUGAUGUUCGCUACUGUAAUGUAUAUAUGAACCUAACAUUUUAAUAAGCAGGUUUGCACGCUUAAGACUUGCAUUGUACAAAUGUACUUCAGAUAUAAAAUCACUGAUUUGUUAGGUGAUGUUUUCUCAUUAAAAGCGUAUUUCUCAGGCUGGACCAGCCAAUUACAAUUAUGACCGCGCAUGCGCAUCGCUGCUCUAGCCUCAGGUUUCUAUGGGAAUCGGAGCUCCUAACGGCUGCUGCAGUGAUGCAAUGACUUUCCUGAUCAGUGAUUGGCUCUUUCAUUUAGAAGGAGGGGCUAUUCCACCAGACUGGGCAUUGCAGUUUCUCCCCUUUAUAAGUAUAGAAUUGAACCAAAUCUGUAUUUCUAUAGUCUUUGCUGCUACUCUGUCAGAUUUUGCAAGCUCCCAUUAAAACAGUUGGUGGCAUAAUUCGACAGUGAAAAAUGCUACCUAUCAGAUUUUGCUUCCAGCAUGAUAUUAAUGUGGUGUGAGGCUUUAUUAACAUGUACAUCUACCCCAACCCUAAACCUACCCGUACAGUAUUAUAAACACAGUGUUGGUAGCAGCAUUUUUGUUAGAACACCUGGCUGCGAUGAAAGCAUCGCGAGUUCUCCAGCAGAGGAUCCUCCCUCAUAUCUCAGCACAGCCAAGAACUCUAAAAUUAGGGCAGAAUUCAUGAAUUCUUUGAAGCUGAGUGAAGCGUUUCACACACACACACACACACACACACACACACACACACACACACACACACACACCCUACAGCAGCCAUAAUUACACACCCGCUAAUCCUGUUUCCCAAAUCCAGGUGCCAAUGGAUCCAUGCGGAAAAUCCCACGGCCGCACAUUUUCUCCAUCUGUCUCUCGGAUCCGGUUUCACACAAAGAUCUGUGUUUGUCUUCAUCUCCAUUCUGUCUUCAUUUGCUAAAAAUCUCUCUCACAGUGACCUCAAGCUCCAGGACCAGCCUAAAACCCUUGAGUUCCCCACAGAAACUAACAGCAUGGUCUGGAUCAACAUGAGGGGGAAUAAAUAAUGACUCAGUGCUGAUUUUUGGGUGAUUUAUUGCUUUAAUCCGUUUAGUGCUCGUCUGUUCAUGUGUUCAUGUAUUUGAGGAACCGUGUUUCCUCCGGAGGUUCAUUGCGAUUCAUCCAAACAUGAUGAGACACUCCACUGAUAUAAUGACACAGAUCGGUUAUUAAUUAGUCUUUUUUUGUCUUGUUUUCAAAUCAAAGAUAUCAAAAAAAGCUGAGAUAAAUGCUCCAUGAGAUAUCAAGGCUUGUUUUCAAAGAACCUGCUAUUACAUUCACUGGAAAGAGCGAUUAUUGAGAAAAGUAAAAAAAAACGUAUUUAUUUAUGAGUUUUCUCAACUAUUGAUUCUAAAUAAUCAUCUUUAGUAAUUCCACUUUGUGUUCAGUCACUAAAUGCCUCGUUCAACCGAUAUUUAUCAAGGACCCUGCAGAUUUCUUGUUCAUUAAGUCACACAAUAGAUUUAGUUUAUCAAACACUUCACGCGUGAACCAUGUGAUCUUUGUUUCUUCGUUCGUACACAGAUCUCAAAACUAAACACACAAAUGUCAAGAACUGACACAAUCCAUUAACACGUUGAGGUGUUUAUUUUUAUUUUGGUUCCAGAAAAUAAACUCUUCAACUCUUUCUUGUUUUUGUUACAUGUUCUCUGUGCUUCCUGUCCAUGCUUCCUGUCUCCUGUGGUGUUUGUAGUCAGUUUGUAGUCCAUUUGUUCACUGGUUUCCCUUGAUUAGUCUCCCCAGGUGUGUCUUGUUAUCUUCUUAGGCUUGUUAGCCCCGUGUGUGUACAUAGCCCUAGUGUUUCUUCAGUUCUCUGUGAGUUGUUGAAUGUAGUGGUUCUUGGCUUAUUGUUUGUUUUAGUUUUUCCAUGAAAUAUAUCGGCAAUAUCUGCCUGUUUUCUCCAGUUUUUCACUGGCAUGUCUCUUUAAUAGUGCAUCUUUGAGCCUAUAUUUAUUAUAAGUAAAACACUGAAGUAGUGUUAAAAUCAGACACUCUGUAACACCUUUACUCAAGUUGUUUUGGAAAUGUUGACCUGUAUUGGAGUAAUUUCACUGUAAGCUAUCUGUAUUUUUCUCAAGUAGGGACUCUUUACAUCUCUGUCAGAAGGUUCCUUAAACUGGAAAAUAUGUAGUUGGUUUUGACAGCGUGUGUGUGAGGUUUCAUCGAUUGUAUCUUGAGUGUUUUAAGUGUCUUACUGCUCAAUUAUAAAAAGUGAAAAUAUUUGCUAGUACAAUAAGACAAAACAAUCUGUGAAAACAAAGCUGUUCCUCGAGGAAAUGCAUGAAGUAUGUCAAUCAGCAAGAGUGACAAAUAAAGACACACACACCAAACCCAUCAAAAAGACAAGAAAAUAUAUAUAUAGAGAGAGAGUAUACGAUAGCACCCGAUGUGUUAAUGCACUCGAUUACUAGUUGAGUUUACUGUAAGAAUGUGUUUCUGUGUGUUUGAGAGCACAUCUGCAUCACGAGAUGAAGCUCCGUGUUGUGUCCAGACGGCCUGUGAUCGGCCCGUUCCUCCAGAACUCUGUGUUCUGUGUUUCUCUGCUGGAGUCUCGCAGCUCCGAGCGUCUCGCCAUCUGUUCAGAGAUCUGUGCGUCACACGUUUCCCUGCGGCGGACAGAACCAGCGCACCUCGAGACAAGACACAGAAGCAUCUACUGACCGACGAGUCUUCACCAGCAGCAGAUCUCAGAUCUCAGAUUCUCCUGAAAACAGGGCUUCUGUGGAGGCUCCGUUCACCCGUACACACAUAAAGGCUUUCAAAGUACAAAUAUCUAACCAUCCUUAAACCAAGACACAUUUACUGCAGAUGCUUGUACUUGUGUAUGGAUCGACUGGUUCUCGCCGUGAAUGCAUUAAGAAGAAAUAAACAAACUGCAGAUGCAAAAUGAAGACAAGAGGUCUUGUUUUCUGAGAAAUUGAUCAAAAUGAAAAACCCUGAGAAGGCAACGAAGUCAUGAAUCCAGACGCUUCAGAGCGAAAGCAUCUUUACUGAAACCUCAUCAGACGUGUGACGGAGCUUCGGUUCAUUAACACUUCACCUUCCAGCACUCCA